UGACCCCAAAGCCCUACUUUCACAGACUAAAAGAAAUCAUUUAGAACUGGUUUCAUGUUGAAUCCCACAUGUGGCCUGUAAUGCCUUCACAUGAACGUGUCUCUCACAGGCUCCCUGCAGGAUGGGGUGGUCCUUUUUUAAGUCCUCUUUUAAAGAAGGGCAUCUAUAUAUGGAGAAAGUCAUUGCAUGGCUACUGGGAGAUGAGAGAAGCAGACAACAAAUUUUAUCCGUUCCCAAGUGAUGAAGGUUUCAAGAAAUUCCAGAAGUUAAAUUCUUCCAACUUUAUGAAAGGUAAAAUUCAUUUGUUAUUGAGAAGCUUUUGAUAUUGAUAAGUGUGUGUAAUAGUUCCAAUUCCUGAAUUGAAGUGAAUGGAUGAAAAAUUCUCAAUUCAUAAAAUUCAUAAAUUACUGUUGCUUGUUGUAACUGUAAGGAAAAAAGCACUUUACACAUCUCCGUGCAAGGUGUGGGAAUUUUCUUUACCGAAGCUGUGCAUUUAAGUAGAUAGAACAUGGUGAGUUGCAUCUGAGCUGAAACUUGAUGAAGUUGUGAUGGUGUUUAUAAUGAAUGGAAAGACAUAAGCAUAGAUCAAUCUGCUCUGUGUGGUCUGAACAGCUCUCUAGCUUAUUUUGCUACCAUCUUGACCAAGGGAUUACAGCAGUGAGCCUUCUAAAUUAAAUGACAAUUUUGGGGUAAAGACUAUCCCUAGUAACACCUGUGGUUACUUAAGAAGGAGGUUUGAUUCGUAUGCUGAGAUGAGGUCAGCACUUUUUAAGCUGUUUGUUCUCUCCUGAACUCUGCAGUGAGAAAAAGAGUAAGGUAUGAAAAACUCUAGACUAUGAAUUUGGAAUUUGUUUCAGGCUGAGAUCAAAAACACUGGUUAAUGAACAAAAUUAAAAUGAUCACCUUAUGGGAUUUUAAUUAUCUUGCAUACUUAAUUUCUUACAACUUAAUUUUCUGUUCUUUCUUACUAUUUACUGUGCGUUGUUUUGUGAUGUGGUAUGUAUUUCAUUGUAGUAUGGUGAACUGGUACUGUUACGCGUCAGUGGUAGAGAAAUCAAGCAUGAAUUUCCUUAUGCAAAAUGACCAACAACUUGUGGGAUGUAUUCCAGUUCCUCUGUCCCCUCCUGAAGGGGCAUAAGGUCUCCUCAGUUUGAUGGGUUGGAUAAAGAGAGAGAUUAAGUUGAUUAGGAAGUAAUGACUGAAGGAAAAAUGUAUUAAGCUAUUUUCAUAUUCAGAACAGGAUCAUUAUAACCAGAACCUCAGGAGCCAUUAUUUUAAGCAUUAGUGUAUAAUGUGGUACACUACAUUAAGUUUUAUGUACAGCAGUUGGAACCUCAAGAUGACUACUGUAAACUUUUCAUCAGUGCUAGUUUUCACAAUGACAUUUUAUCUUCAUUAGGUGAUACUCUGAAAUGGUUCUAAGUAUACCAAUAUGGUUUCUUUGUUAGUGUAAACCAGACUGCAUAGAUGUUAAUGGAGCCAUUCACAUUUAUUGGUAUAAAUUAGUUUCAUUAUGUUCUCACAUCAUAAAUCAUAAUGGACAUCAGGAAAGUCAUCUGGCAACACUGGUGUAAAAACAAUAAAAAUGGGGAAUGAAUUGACCCAAACUACUCAAUGUUUAAUUGCAUAAAUGUGUUUGAAGCAUGCGUGUGCAUUUGUAUUUCCCAAGCUGUCUUUCAUGAUAUGAAUCAUCAAACAGACAAGAACAGGGACAGAAAAAGUAAUUUUUUCCUUACAAGAAAAAGGCAGUGCUCACCAUGCCCAUUCAUUCAAGUGUCUUUUCUUUUCUGGUUCUUGAGUUUGUCGUCUAUGUGAAACUUGGAUGUAAUGACAUUAGUCUCCUGUACAUGCACAUGUUUUGUUUUGCUUUUUUUUUUUUUUUUUUUUUUGUCUGUAAUGUGUACUGAUAGCUCAGUGAAACGACUAUUGAUUGAGAAAUUACAAUGAACUGAAAUGGUUGCUUCUAGCUUGACCUUGUCAUGACAUCUGCUCAAAAUAGUAAGAUAACUAUUACUUGUGUAGAUUGAGAAGCAAUAUUUAGGUUCAUCAUUCUAAUGAAGUCACUAGACAGGAAAGGCUGUUCUAAGUUAAAUCUAGAACCCCGAUUGUUACUAACAUCCACAUUAAAUAUUUUUGCUAUAAAUAAUUCACAGGUAAAUGACAGCUAUUCAGGCAAGCCUGAACACACGUUUUAUAGUGAAUAAACAUUGAAUACAUCUAGCAUCUGGUGCUCCAUUUUUACCUCUCAAAUCCAUACCAUGUUUAAACCUUUUUCAUGCUGUAUUUUGAUUCAUUAUUCCAUAUAGAUAUAAAAAGCUGCACUUACGUAUAAAAAAGAUUUUGUGCUCAUCAAGAGAAUUUGAAAGGACAAUUUCUACAGAGUACAGAAACUUGAGGUAGCAGAAAGUACUUAAUCAUGGCAAUGGCUUCUUCAGGUGAUUUUUCUUUGUGACAAACCAAAUAUGUAUUGUAUUAUUUGUGGAUCAGUAUAUAUAAUGUCAGCACACAUUCCUGUUUAUUGACUCAUUUUAUCAUGCUGAACUGUCAUAAGCUCCUUAUUAAUCUGUCUCUGAAGGAUCAAAAUGCUUUAAUAAACAUGUUAGUUCCUUUA